UGAGCAGAGAUCAAGCCUGAGCGGAGUUCGACUCUGUGUUGCGCCAGUUGACAUCGCAGAUCCUUGACUUUGUUGGACGAGCGACAAUAUACAUUACACAAGCAUGUAGCUCAUAAUGUGGGAUAACUGCCGUAUUGCAUUGCCAACGCAAACCCAUCCUGUGUCAGUGCAGCCAUCCAGGAACUUGUACUUGCCGGACCAGAUGCCUCUGCAGCUGAACACCAUUCCAGUGGAAAGCCAAGAGUUGAUGGCGAAGCAUCCCGGUCUGCACAGUACAAGUCAAAGAACAAUAAUUAUGAAUUAGAACGCACUGUAAUCCUUCCCAAAAAAGGGCAAAACCUGACAGGCUACUGAGACAUUCAACGACCUGAGACCUGGAGAUGUGUUAACAAAACUCGGCUUCGCCUCGAUUUGUACAUGUACUCGUAGGUUUAUAUUUCUGUUGAUACCUCCUCCCGUACGUUGUACAACCUUUUCCAAGCUGGCCUGAAUGCACCCUCCUACUCACCUUUUGUCUCCUUUACUAUUAUUGCCACCUUUCGUUCCCUUGGCCUGGGUAGCUACUUGCGCGCCCAUAUUUGCCAUAGUUACCCAGGCCCUUUAUCUUGCCGCGCCCUCACUCGAUCUCUCUCUCUCGUUUCGUUUUUCUUGGUCCUUCGUCUCCCAUAAUAAAUGUCUUCCCAACUA